GAAUCAUUGAUAAAUGGAUUGAGUUUGUUCCGUCCUUAAACCAAAUUCGUAUUUUUUUAUUGAAAAAUUU
rnacentral:tRNA from 1 species